CAAUAGCGUAUACUAACGUUGUUGCAGUUAAAAAGCUCGUAGUUGGAUUUCUGAAGGUGGUUGGAUUGGUGUGACCUCGCGUUGCCUCAACCAUACUAUUUUCAACAUAUGCGAUGAAUUGGUGUGGUUAAUUAAGUUUGAUCCGCCAUUAAAUCGCUCGUUUACUGUGAAAAAAUUAGAGUGUUCAAAGCAGGCGUGUUGGCCGUGAAUACAUUAGCAUGGAAUAAUAAGAUAGGACUUUGGUGCUAUUUUGUUGGUUUGUGUGCCGAGGUAAUGGUUAACAGGGACAGUUGUGGGUAUUCAUAUUUGAUUGUCAGAGGUGAAAUUCUUGGAUUUAUCAAAGAUGAACGAGUGCGAAAGCAUUUACCAGGGAUGUUUNCAUUAA
rnacentral:rRNA from 1 species